UUCUUUGGUUUUUCUCAAUAGAAAAUGCUUUAAGACCAUGGAUUUUUACACAUAUGUGUGCUAUAUUAUGUGAGGAUAUGUUUUAUGAUUUUGGAUGAUUAUUUUGGUAGAGUUUAUUGGGUGAAAAACCGUGCAUGAGGUAAGGCAGCGAAUCUGCCAUAAGCACACUGCUCCGGCAGUGUAUUGCAAGGCGAUGCCAGCCAUCCAAACGGUUCCCAAAAAUUCCCAAAUUAAUUGUGUAUCGUGAUUAAUAUGUUUUCUAUACUAUGGUAAAAUUUAAGAAUAUUUAGAGCUCUCAUGUUUUAUUUAUGAAAUUUUAAACAUCACUGCCCAUCUGGAAUAUAUUUUUGGUAAACCAUCUUUGGGAGGCCAUAAGUCAAGUUUAAAUCGGUGAACAUCUUUGAAACUUGAGUAUGUCACUCUAGACUCCCGUAUCUUUCUUUUGGAAUCGGCCUCACCAUUUUUGAGUAAGGAAAACAACCGGUAUAAAUUUUUGAAAUCUAGUUCUUAUUCCUUGAGCCAUCCAGUAGGUUUAACAAACCUACGACUUUGAGGUCUCAAAGGCCGACUUAAAUCUUUGAUUCUCAAGCCUAUCUUUCUACUGAAUAUUCACUGACAUGUUGGGAACUUACUUGUUCAGUUUUAGAAUUUUUGGUGAAGCCUAAAGUGGUUUUUCCGAUUUAUGUUUUGAAUCUGCCAAACUUGAACUCUUUUUGUGCACUGAACUUUAGACAGUCAUAUCUUCUAAACCAUGAAUUGUCUUGGAGUAAAUCCAACUGGAGAGUGUUAUGAUCUCUCCCUAGUUUCCGAAUUGACCCUUGGGGUUCCCAGUGGAGUUUUGUAAAGGGAGAUAUGAAUUUUUAAAGAAAGCCCACUGACUUGGUUGUAAUCUGGAAAUCUGAAAUUUUUAUAUUUUUGUUUGUUAAAUACCCAUCUUUGAGAGGGCAUAUCUUGCUCGUUUGAACUGUUUUUCAUUCGAUUCAAAUUGGAGAAUGAUCCUUGAAAUGUCUAGUUUCCAGAAUGUCUUUUGGAGCCUUAUUUGGAAAUCCGAGGCAGAUUUGGUGUCUGUUGCAAAACAACCCCUUAAGUGCUCAAGUUGUUGAAUUAUUUUCUAUGUAUCAAAGUUUAUUUUAAAGGAUGUUUCAUGAAAGAUUUAGUAUAUGUGCGUAACGAGUUUGGGGCUUUGAUUUUUUUUUUAUCUCAUUUGGGAUUUUAUUUUUAAUUCAAAGUGGACUGCCUUAUUAAAUAAAUUGGGCUGCAUUUUUACUAAAAAAAUGACUUGGUUUAAAUUUACUAAUUAGACUCUGAUAAAGUUUAAUUAUUUAUUUCUUUAAAGAAUGAUUUCAUAUUAAUAUUAAUUAUUAUUAUUAUGUGCAUAUUUUAAGUAAUUACUUAUUAUAUGCUAAGCAUGACAUGAAAUUGCAUUAUAUUUUGCAAUAAAAGUAUUUAUGAUUUAAUUGGUUUUAAUUAUAAUUCCAAUUAUUAAAGAAAAUCGAGUAAGGAUAUUGUUGGUGUCCUUAACUCAAGAAGUUUAGUUUUCAAUCUUUAUUAUUAAAUUUUGAAACCCGGCGUGAUGAAUCAUAGAAUGUUAAGCAUUUUUCCCCAAGAUAUUAAGUUAGCUUCACGAGACCUAUUAAGAAUAGAAUUUCUUGUAGGCUUUGUGAUGACCAGGAGGAUUAGCGCUACUUUUCCCAAGACAGGUUUUUAUGUGUAUGAUCUUCAGGCUUUGCCUAACCAGGUUGGCUGGCCGGUGCUGACGGGACGGAGCUGAGGCUAGAGUUAAAUUCCUAUGUUAGACUUCCGCUGUAGCAAUUACUCAUUUCAGUAUUUUGUUUUCCCAACUUAAGAUCUUCAUGUUAAAUUUCAAAUGAUAUACCUGACCGAGCUUAGACUCUUCACUACUUAAUUUAUGCCAAUGAAUGUCGGUUGUCAGAAGCAUGAAACAAAACUUGUGAUCCAAAGGGGCAUAGCCCGACUUUCUAUCCUAUUUCGGGUUUUUACAAGGUUGUUCCUUGUUUAUUUCUAUGAAUUAGUUGCACCUCGAUUAUAUUUAUUCAUUCAAGAAUUGGGGUGUGACAGAAUGGUAUCAGAGCAUGAGUUUUCUUUCAUGACUCUGAUAACCAUAAGCUUUUGAUGUUGAGUCUAGAAUAGUAUCUCUAGACUUCUAAGAAUGUCAGUAGCCCUCAGCUCACCGUCACACUGCCGCAACCAAGGUACGAUAAUAGUUUCAAAAAUAUACAUAUAUGUAUUUCAGAUGUUAUGAAAGUUUUCAAGAAAAUGUGCGCCUUAUGUUUACGAUGCUAUGUGAAUGCUUUUUGUCGUGUUUGGGACUACCCGAACCCAUAACGACUCAAUGAAUGUAUUUCGUGUUUGGGACAACCCGAGCCCUUAACGAAUCAAUGUAUGUAUGUAUGUAUGGUCGGGUUAGAUUCCUUGAAUCUUUCCGGCAUAAGCAAAGUUUUUCAUGAAAGGGACAUUUAAUGUCCAUAUGACUCAAAAUUUCAAAGAAAGCAAAUAUAUGUAUGUAUGUAUGUAUGAAUGAUGAGAAAGCUUUAUGUUAUCAUUUUAGGUUCACUGCCUAUAUGAUUAGAAUGAUGAGUUCUUUUACAAAUCGUUUGAGAACCACCCAAUAAUGUCUUACGAAUGUUAGUCGUGAUAGCACCGCUAGAACGACAUAGAAUGGACCUAUAUGAUACCAAAGAUUUAUGAUUGAAGUACUUAGAAGUAAGUGCUUUAAGUUAGAAGUUGACUUAGAGCUUUAUAAGAGAUAAGAAGUUGACAUGAUUGGGGGCGAAGCUCCCAUUUGACUGAGUGAUUCGUUGUGCUGGGUCUGGCCAGCCCACAUGACUAAGAUCUCGGUGAUUGUCAAUUAAGAUUUUUGAUCUCGAGGUAGAGCGUCAUCCCAAUGUAUAGACUCUCACUAUGUAGUUGUCACAAUAAGAUUUUGCUUCCAUCACGAUAAGCAUAAUAUGAUUAGAAUGAGUUCGUUUGUCACCAGUUCUCGAGACUAUAGACAUGGUGUUCUCACAAUUAGAAAGAUGCGAUAACAAUCAAGCUAUGUAGCCGCACUGAUAGUGAAGUCUAGUAUCCCAAACUAGAUUACCAAGAUAUGCAAUUUCGAGGACGAAAUUUUUAUAAGGAGGGAGGGAUGUAACACCCCGCUUUUUCCUAGCUAAAUUUAGAGUAAUUUUGAACUUAGAAGUCAGGAUGAUUCACACCGGAUAUAAAGAAAAUGAAUUUAUUUUAAUUCCAACAAAAAUGAUUUACAAAAACAUUUGUAAAUUUAGUUAUUAAAUUUAUAUGCAUUGCAUAUUUAUUUAUAUUAAGCAUUUAGCAUCUACACGAGCUAUUUAUUUAAGCAAACACUGAACGAUUAUUACAGUUUUCAUAGUACAACCCGGAAGACUUUUUAUUUUAUUCAAUCACCUACCUCUCCACCACACUAAUCUUUUUCCCUACCACCACUAAUAUUUUCUUUUCCCUACCACUAAUCUUUUUCCCUACCACCACUAAUAUUUUCUUUUCCCUACCACUAAUAUUUUUCCCUACCACCACUAAUUUGUUUUCAUACCACUACACUUUGUAAAAAAAAAAAAUAGCUUUUAGUCAUGCCCUUAUAUCCUUACUUCUCUCUGCACAACCAAAGUUGGAAUUCAUAGAAGCCUUUAAGCUCCAAGAGUAGUAUCAAAGUAAGGGAGAGCGUGGGAAACCUAUGGCGUAAAGUUAGAGUGAAGAUUGUGCUUCGAGGGCUUUGUGAUGACCAGGAGGAUUAGCGCUACUUUUCCCAAGACAGGUUUUUAUGUGUAUGAUCUUCAGGCUUUGCCUAACCAGGUGGGCUUACUUUCCAAAUGUACAAAGUAUGAUUGAGUUAUUAAGCUCUAAAUGUUUCAAUGAAAUGCAAAUUGUUUAUUUAAUGUAAUGAAAACUGUUUAUCCAAUAAAAUAUUUUGUGCACUCUGCUCUGUUUAAGGUUCGCAUAAGUUAAUCGAUCGAGGUUCUCUUAUGACCUAACACGUUGUUUGAGAAUUGUGUACACCUAUUAGCUGACUCGGUGGGUUGAUCUCCAUUCGGGCACUAAUCAUGUAUGAGGCGUUAUAAGGGUGCUCGACGGGAUGUGUUCCGGAGCAUUGGGUCCCAAAUGGGAACUUGACUGGGUUACGCCCUCAGUUCAAGUAAAGCGGGAGAUAUGGAUCCGUCGGUGGCUAAAAGGUCCGGGAUCACAGCGAGUAACGGAAAGGGAGUGUGACAUGUGCGCACAAAUGAAAGAAAAUGUUUUAACAUGCUUAGAAGUACUUCUUUCAAUUUAAAACCUUCUAAGUCAUGUCAAGUAUGAUUGGAUAAACUGCUCUUUAUUAAAAUAUGAAAUGUUUCAGAAAAAUGCAUGCCCACUAAGUACAUUAGUACUUAGCCCAAAAAUACUUUCAAAUGUUUUCAGGUUGGCUGGCCGGUGCUGACGGGACGGAGCUGAGGCUAGAGUUAAAUUCCUAUGUUAGACUUCCGCUGUAGCAAUUACUCAUUUCAGUAUUUUGUUUUCCCAACUUAAGAUCUUCAUGUUAAAUUUCAAAUGAUAUACCUGACCGAGCUUAGACUCUUCACUACUUAAUUUAUGCCAAUGAAUGUCGGUUGUCAGAAGCAUGAAACAAAACUUGUGAUCCAAAGGGGCAUAGCCCGACUUUCUAUCCUAUUUCGGGUUUUUACAAGGUUGUUCCUUGUUUAUUUCUAUGAAUUAGUUGCACCUCGAUUAUAUUUAUUCAUUCAAGAAUUGGGGUGUGACAGAAUGGUAUCAGAGCAUGAGUUUUCUUUCAUGACUCUGAUAACCAUAAGCUUUUGAUGUUGAGUCUAGAAUAGUAUCUCUAGACUUCUAAGAAUGUCAGUAGCCCUCAGCUCACCGUCACACUGCCGCAACCAAGGUACGAUAAUAGUUUCAAAAAUAUACAUAUAUGUAUUUCAGAUGUUAUGAAAGUUUUCAAGAAAAUGUGCGCCUUAUGUUUACGAUGCUAUGUGAAUGCUUUUUGUCGUGUUUGGGACUACCCGAACCCAUAACGACUCAAUGAAUGUAUUUCGUGUUUGGGACAACCCGAGCCCUUAACGAAUCAAUGUAUGUAUGUAUGUAUGGUCGGGUUAGAUUCCUUGAAUCUUUCCGGCAUAAGCAAAGUUUUUCAUGAAAGGGACAUUUAAUGUCCAUAUGACUCAAAAUUUCAAAGAAAGCAAAUAUAUGUAUGUAUGUAUGUAUGAAUGAUGAGAAAGCUUUAUGUUAUCAUUUUAGGUUCACUGCCUAUAUGAUUAGAAUGAUGAGUUCUUUUACAAAUCGUUUGAGAACCACCCAAUAAUGUCUUACGAAUGUUAGUCGUGAUAGCACCGCUAGAACGACAUAGAAUGGACCUAUAUGAUACCAAAGAUUUAUGAUUGAAGUACUUAGAAGUAAGUGCUUUAAGUUAGAAGUUGACUUAGAGCUUUAUAAGAGAUAAGAAGUUGACAUGAUUGGGGGCGAAGCUCCCAUUUGACUGAGUGAUUCGUUGUGCUGGGUCUGGCCAGCCCACAUGACUAAGAUCUCGGUGAUUGUCAAUUAAGAUUUUUGAUCUCGAGGUAGAGCGUCAUCCCAAUGUAUAGACUCUCACUAUGUAGUUGUCACAAUAAGAUUUUGCUUCCAUCACGAUAAGCAUAAUAUGAUUAGAAUGAGUUCGUUUGUCACCAGUUCUCGAGACUAUAGACAUGGUGUUCUCACAAUUAGAAAGAUGCGAUAACAAUCAAGCUAUGUAGCCGCACUGAUAGUGAAGUCUAGUAUCCCAAACUAGAUUACCAAGAUAUGCAAUUUCGAGGACGAAAUUUUUAUAAGGAGGGAGGGAUGUAACACCCCGCUUUUUCCUAGCUAAAUUUAGAGUAAUUUUGAACUUAGAAGUCAGGAUGAUUCACACCGGAUAUAAAGAAAAUGAAUUUAUUUUAAUUCCAACAAAAAUGAUUUACAAAAACAUUUGUAAAUUUAGUUAUUAAAUUUAUAUGCAUUGCAUAUUUAUUUAUAUUAAGCAUUUAGCAUCUACACGAGCUAUUUAUUUAAGCAAACACUGAACGAUUAUUACAGUUUUCAUAGUACAACCCGGAAGACUUUUUAUUUUAUUCAAUCACCUACCUCUCCACCACACUAAUCUUUUUCCCUACCACCACUAAUAUUUUCUUUUCCCUACCACUAAUCUUUUUCCCUACCACCACUAAUAUUUUCUUUUCCCUACCACUAAUAUUUUUCCCUACCACCACUAAUUUGUUUUCAUACCACUACACUUUGUAAAAAAAAAAAUAGCUUUUAGUCAUGCCCUUAUAUCCUUACUUCUCUCUGCACAACCAAAGUUGGAAUUCAUAGAAGCCUUUAAGCUCCAAGAGUAGUAUCAAAGUAAGGGAGAGCGUGGGAAACCUAUGGCGUAAAGUUAGAGUGAAGAUUGUGCUUCGAGGGCUUUGUGAUGACCAGGAGGAUUAGCGCUACUUUUCCCAAGACAGGUUUUUAUGUGUAUGAUCUUCAGGCUUUGCCUAACCAGGUGGGCUUACUUUCCAAAUGUACAAAGUAUGAUUGAGUUAUUAAGCUCUAAAUGUUUCAAUGAAAUGCAAAUUGUUUAUUUAAUGUAAUGAAAACUGUUUAUCCAAUAAAAUAUUUUGUGCACUCUGCUCUGUUUAAGGUUCGCAUAAGUUAAUCGAUCGAGGUUCUCUUAUGACCUAACACGUUGUUUGAGAAUUGUGUACACCUAUUAGCUGACUCGGUGGGUUGAUCUCCAUUCGGGCACUAAUCAUGUAUGAGGCGUUAUAAGGGUGCUCGACGGGAUGUGUUCCGGAGCAUUGGGUCCCAAAUGGGAACUUGACUGGGUUACGCCCUCAGUUCAAGUAAAGCGGGAGAUAUGGAUCCGUCGGUGGCUAAAAGGUCCGGGAUCACAGCGAGUAACGGAAAGGGAGUGUGACAUGUGCGCACAAAUGAAAGAAAAUGUUUUAACAUGCUUAGAAGUACUUCUUUCAAUUUAAAACCUUCUAAGUCAUGUCAAGUAUGAUUGGAUAAACUGCUCUUUAUUAAAAUAUGAAAUGUUUCAGAAAAAUGCAUGCCCACUAAGUACAUUAGUACUUAGCCCAAAAAUACUUUCAAAUGUUUUCAGGUUGGCUGGCCGGUGCUGACGGGACGGAGCUGAGGCUAGAGUUAAAUUCCUAUGUUAGACUUCCGCUGUAGCAAUUACUCAUUUCAGUCUUUUGUUUUCCCAACUUAAGAUCUUCAUGUUAAAUUUCAAAUGAUAUACCUGACCGAGCUUAGACUCUUCACUACUUAAUUUAUGCCAAUGAAUGUCGGUUGUCAGAAGCAUGAAACAAAACUUGUGAUCCAAAGGGGCAUAGCCCGACUUUCUAUCCUAUUUCGGGUUUUUACAAGGUUGUUCCUUGUUUA